AAAUUAUCCAGGUUAAACACAUCCUAUGGUUAUUACCAAAAUAAACUUCCAUGAAACAAAAUUCCGGGCAAAUAGUGGGAUAACAGAAACUCGGAAUAUAUGUUGGAAGCACCUAUCACCCGAAAGGCAAACUCAACAAUAGCGGUGAUAACUGAACACAUUAACAUGACACCGGAUUUCCCUGUCAGUUGCUAUUUGCGGUAUAGAACGUACUCAUUUACAGAAUAAAUUGGAAGUCUCUGAAUAAAUCAAUAAUGAAUCUAAAACAAUGUUGCCUUGCUUCACUUGCAUUGCAUUUGCUUUCUCUGUACAGUUCAAUUGACUGAUGAGUGAUGAUUACAAGUUGAACAUCAAGCUCCCUAUGAAAACAAAACAACCCAUCACUAACCUUAAAUAAAGAUGCUUAUAAAAUUAGACAUUUGCUUACAAGUAUCAUAGAAAUUAGAAACACUUGUAAAGUAUUAGAAUCUUCAAUU